ACUUACGGCCAUACCACCCUGAACACGCCCGAUCUCGUCUGAUCUCGGAAGCUAAGCAGGGUCGGGCCUGGUCAGUACUUGGAUGGGAGACCGCCUGGGAAUACCAGGUGCUGUAAGCU
ensembl:rRNA 5S_rRNA 5S ribosomal RNA